rnacentral:rRNA from 1 species
UGCCAGCCGCCGCGGUAACACGGGGGGCGCAAGCGUUAUUCGGAAUUAUUGGGCGUAAAGGGCGCGCAGGCGGUCUUGUCCGUCAGGUGUGAAAGCCCGGGGCUCAACCCCGGAAGUGCACCCAAAACUGCCAGACUAGAAUCUCGGAGGGGGUCGGAGAAUUCCCGGUGUAGAGGUGAAAUUCGUAGAUAUCGGGAGGAAUACCAGUGGCGAAGGCGCCGACCUGGACGAUGAUUGACGCUGAGGCGCGAAGGCGUGGGUAGCGAACGGGAUUAGAUA